rnacentral:lncRNA from 1 species
GACAGCACUGUGGCCACCGGGUUUACGAAGACCGUCCCUCCCAGGAAGACACCAACCGACGCCGCCUCCUGCUCCUCCCGCCUCGUCGCUGAGGAGGGCCGUCCCGGAGAACAGCCUACUGUUCAGCGAGCGGGUUAGCCGGCUUUAGCCUCUUCAACAUCUGAGAGAGUGGGAAAAACACGCACAUUAAUGUCCAGACAACGUGACUGCAUGCCAUGAACGACGAGAGCCACUAACGUUAGAUGGCUGAAAGAAGAAGAAGCAGCAGCGAGCGAGGCUGAAAAGGACCGGUGGUUGAAACCAACGCUGAUUUGGGAUUUCACCCAGAAAUACAACAAAACAGCAAGGUUUUCCACGGAAUAAGAAGCCAGACUUCAGGCCAGAAAUCCGUCAAAGAAACAAACACACAUAAAAAAACUUUGCUGGGAUGAGUGCUUUGUGCCUUGGGGGUCCAGGUUGCACAGAAACGCAGACGCAUCAGCAAUAGUUAUUGCAGCAGAAAGACCACAGUGUGUGUUUGCAGCCUCUGCACAUCACUCCAUUCCACCACUUUCGCCUUUCCCUGGCACAGCUUCAUCCCUGGAUCAACCAUCGUGAUAAAAGGCUUUCCAAUCAGAGAGACAUCGGACAAUUUGGCUUGUGAUUACUUCUCCCCAAGAUAUGUUUGCCUUUUAUCUUUGUGUUUGAUUGUUUUUGAAUCUCUAUGGGUGCAGAGUGCAGCAGGACUUCUUCAUUAGUUGUUGGAUUUCUAGAUUCUGUAACAGCCAGGCUUGGCAGAACCCCUUUACUGCAGAAGUGACUGUACUCAGCAUCAUGAAAUCU